AGGGCCGCGCGCGCGCGCCGGGUGGGGAGCCGGUUCGCCACUGUCUCCGCUCCCUCCCUCCGCAGCUUGACCCGGUAGUGAAGGCAGAGAGAGAGGCAGGCUGGGUCCGCCUGGCAGCCUACGAGAAGAGGCGGGAGCGGGAAAGGAAGGGAGCCGAGGCCCGGCGUGGGGAGGCCGGCAGGAAGGGCUUCGAGCCCUGUGCGGACCUUUUUUCAGCCUCUGAGCGGCCGCGCGGCGCGCUAGCCUCCUGCGCUGUGAGGACGCCCGGACUUCCUCAGGACUAGGGCUCGGCGGGAGCAGAAAGAGCGAGACCUGGACUUGGCGGCGCGCCCCCGGCGGGAGCGCUGCGAGUGCCCAGGCGCGGGACCCUGCAGCGGGAAAGCCGAGCUGGUGGGACCCCGUGGACCUGCGGGGGAGGCCUGGGCGCGAGGCGCCGGGUGGAGGCGGAGGAGUUCUCUGUUGAGGGAGGCUUUGUCUCCUCACGUUUUCAGUCAAACUCGUCGCAGAGUUCUUAGAAUUCCCCCCCUCGGAGGAGCGGAAAGUUAGGGAAGUGCAGGCUGGUUACCCAGACAGCGAGGAGGCAGAGCAUCACUUUGCGGGGUGCGGGCCCAGCCCGCGCGUCGGGCGGGGAUGGGAACUUGGCGGCGGGCCGGAGUAGUCUGGUGAAAGGGGAUUCCAGGGACGCAGGGGAAGGGGCUUCACUUUUCCAGGUUAAGAGACGCGGAGCGGAAGGGGCCGUAGCGUGGGGCCUCCUGUGGGAAAUGGGCUCUUUUCCCCGGGAACUGCGGCGGAGACGGCUGGGGCACGUCCUCGCCCGGGAAAGCGUCAGACUCGGGCUUGUACCUUAGGAAGAAACCUUGACAUGUCCUGGCGUGACCACUUCGUGCUCCAGAGAAAGAAAAGGCGGCUCUCGGAGCGAGCUUGAACACCGCGGCAGAACCCGGGGUGGAACUCAGCUCGCAGGCCCAGCACCACCAGGCUCCUUUCCCUUCACGAAGUUUGCAGCCAGGAGUAGAGGGUUAAAAGUCCUAAUUUGAUGGGACUGUGAUGAGGAUGAAUCAGAUGUUCCAGGAGGAUUUUCUAUGUUUAUCUGCUGGUUUCUGCUGACUCCAUGGGUAUCUAAGCUUAAGUACAGUGAUUGGAUAUACAAGCGCCAAGUCCUGGGGAGAGAAUUUGGGCCUCAAAGUUGGAUGUGGGGACACUGAAACCUUGCCUCUUCACUCUUCAGCCUUACCCCUGCACUGUGCUAAAGGCUUAUUUAAUUAAUUUGAGAGAAAGAGAGAAGUAUAAGAAGGGGCAGAAGGAAAGAAUCUCAAGCAGACUUCUCUUUGAGUGCAGAGCAAUCCCAUGACCUGGAAAUCUUGACCAGAGCUAAAAUCAAGGAUCAGACGCUUAACCAACUUAACCUACUGAGCCAUGGAGGUAGCCCUCCUAGAAGAUACUUUUAGGCCAGGACUUGGAUGAGGUAAAGCAUCCAGUUGUGAUAAAAUCUGUGGGAAGGAAUUUUCAGACAGAAAAAAAGAAGUAUCUAGGACCUAAAGUAGUAAGGAACAUGACAUUUCAGAGACUGGGUAAUUUUCAUUUAUAUUAUUUUAUGCAUUUGAUUUUACUAUCCCUUAGGUUAGUCUUUGUAAAGUCUUCCACAAAUUGGAUCUUGCUUGAAGUUUAAUUCUCCCCUGAUCCUUUCUCAACCAUGCUCCAUGCUAGUCGGUGCCUCUGUGACUUCGUAUAAGCUGUUUCUUCUGUUUAAUAGCCUCUCAUUCAUUUGUUCUUAUAUCUUAAAUUGUGACUCAAGCAUUCCCUCUUUUAGGAAGCUUUCUCAUUCUGAUGAAGUCUUGGGUUUGGUGGGUGAGGUCCGGAGCCCACAACCAAGAAAGAAUUCUUGGGCCAUCUUUGGUACAAAAUGGUGGUUUAUUAAAGCACAGGGACAGGAAAGAGCUGCUGCCCUGGGGGUUUUAAAGAGUGGUCCAUUAUAUGCUUGCAAGUGGGUAGGGGGUCAGGGAUGGCAUAAGUGUCUAAGGAAUUUUGGAAGCAAGGUUUCCAGGACCUUGAGGGGCUAGCUAUUGUUGGGCAAAAGGUUAUUCAUUACUGGGAAUAAAACCUUUGUUGUGAGACCAUUUAGGGUGGGCCAUAUGCUUGAGAAUGAUUGUUAACACUAUCUUGGAGGGUUUAGAGAUAAAGGAAGUUUCUGAAGAAUUGUUAAAGUAGACUUACAGGAUCCUGGUUGGAGGUAGGGGUGAGUCCGCUAUGAUUGCCCUUUGCCCUAAGCAAAGUGCUAGGGUGAAGGCAGUUGAGUCCCUAGAGGAAUGUCACUCUGCCUGUUUUAAGGGCUUGUCAGUGGGUAAAGAAAUUUAAUAAUUUUUCUUCUGCCUCUGUUUCCCACACCAGUUCUCUCCUGCCCACCAUCCAUACAGUUACUCAGGUAACUUGAUUAUACAAUUGAGACCUGGCUUUGCAUUUAUUGAUUUACAGGUCUGCUUUUAUCACUAGUGAGUUUCUUUAAGACCGAGAAAUUUUUAUAAUUCAUUGCCUGAUAUGAUGGUCCACCAUAGUAAUACUGUUAUAUAGUACAUAAUCCUGGUAGUAUUUAGUAAACACUUAGUAAAUAAGUCAAUGGGGUAUUGUCUUCUUGAUAUAACUUAACUAACGUGACAUUUGUCUCCCAAACAGUUUCCAUACAUAAUUAUUCUAGCUAACAGCCAUAAACUAACUCUUCAUUGUAGCUAUUUUUCUAUAGCCACUAGGAUGUUUAUCAUUAUUUUAUUUCAAAACAACAAAAAAUUUAAAUUAAGUAUAAUCAUUUAUGUUUAAUAUAAACUGCACUUAUAGAAAUAUUCUGAAAAGAUUAAUUUCUGAUAUGUAGUUUUCAAUUCAGUUUUUUUGUUUAGCAUAUUUAUAAUAGAUUUUCAGCCUUUUAAAUAUGUUGGCAUUGAGAACUGAGUAAUAUUUAAUGAAAAUCAUGAUUUAAUAGCAUGUUUUAUGUGGCUUGUUUGUUUCUUUUUAAUUUAGAAUGGUAGAGUUAUAUUUGAGAUCUUCAUUACAUUUUAUUCACCAGAACUCAAUGUUCUUUCUUAACUUGGAACCUAAGGGCUUUUCCAGUUCCUAAGUGCCUGGCAGAAAUAGAAUAGCUGAGAACCUGGGAGGAGAAAUUAUGGGAGAUACGGCAAGAGAGAUAGAAAGAGGAUAUGGACAUUUUGGCAGCGCCAAACUUUAAGAGAUGGCAGAGAUACAGCAUUAAAGUAACCACGCAGAACUGGAGAUAACGUACUUGGAGCUUUCCCCACCCCAGGAGGCUUCCAGUAUACUAACACUUGCUAAGUGUCUUAAACAGGUGUCUAAGUGAUUGGCUUAUGUGGUAGGCUUUAUCCUAUUCAGGAGGAGGAUUCCACCCUGUAAGUUCUCCUUUAAGUCCUUGAGGGUACAAGGGAAGGAUACAAAUUUACUGAAUGAACUAAGCUAAUGAAUAAAUGCAUAAGCCUUUAAUAUCAGUCCCCUUAUUUAUUCGUCUUGAAAGUUUAUAUCAAUAUGUACUUCUAAAUUCUUAUUGCAUCUAAUAGGGUAGAAUCUACUACUAAUACUCUUGAUUUUGAUACUCAAAUUAUUUGCUUUGCCCUGUAGGAAAUCCUUCAAGAUGGUUUGCUUAUCCUUUUGGCAUGUGCUUUUGAUUAUUUGAACACUUUUUUGCUUCUUUAUAUAACAAAAUAUUCCAAUUUCAUCUUGCUCUCUCUCUUCCUGAGCUCUGGAAUUUGCCUCCCCCACCCCCAAAAGGAACCAUGUUCCUUUUAGUGGAAGAUCGUAUUUAGAAACCAAGAUACAUAUUGGCUUAUUUAUUGUUACUGCUGGGCCAUUAUUUCUAAGCCCUUUCAGUGGACAGAGUUAGGAAAUGUAUAUAGAGAUAUUUCAAGUGUGUUUAUGUGUAAUAUAUUAACUACACUUAUAUAUAUGAAAAAUAAUGUCAUACUUAUAUUUCCAGUUAACAUCACAAAUCCCUUUAUGUUCCAUAAGAAGAGAUAACUCAAAUCACUGACUUACUAUGAACAAAACACUAGCAUUUUGGGGUUUUGUUUUUGGUUUGGUUUUUAAGAUUUUACUUAUUUGAAAGUGAGAGAGCACAAGUCAGGGGUAGGAAGGGCAGAGGGAGAGGGAGUAACAAACUCCCUACUGAGCCGGGAGCCUGAUGUGGCUCUCAGUCCCAGGACCCCAGGAUCAUGACC